rnacentral:rRNA from 1 species
CUGUCUCCUUUUUCUAAUCAGUGAAACUAAUCUUCCCGUGAAGAAGCGGGAAUAUCCCCAUAAGACGAGAAGACCCCAUGGAGCUUCAAACCCAAUUACACCCCUAACCCCUAUAACUACUUAACCCUUAGGAUUCUGUAUUAUUGGUUUUAGGUUGGGGCGACCACGGAGUACAACAAAACCUCCACAAUGAACGGAACUACUUCCUCAUCUGAGAGCUACACCUCUAAGAAUUAAAAUAUUAACAUAAAAUGAUCCAUUUUUGAUCAAUGAACCAAGUUACCCUGGGGAUAACAGCGCAAUCCAUUUCAAGAGCCCCUAUCGACAAAUGGG